rnacentral:rRNA from 1 species
UAGCUAGUUGGUGAGGUAAAGGCUUACCAAGGCGACGAUCUGUAGCGGGUCUGAGAGGAUGAUCCGCCACACUGGAACUGAGACACGGUCCAGACUCCUACGGGAGGCAGCAGUGGGGAAUUUUGGACAAUGGGGGCAACCCUGAUCCAGCCAUGCCGCGUGAGUGAAGAAGGCCUUCGGGUUGUAAAGCUCUUUCGGCCGGGAAGAAAUCGCAUGGGCCAAUACCCUGUGUGGAUGACGGUACCGGAAUAAGAAGCACCGGCUAACUACGUGCCAGCAGCCGCGGUAAUACGUAGGGUGCGAGCGUUAAUCGGAAUUACUGGGCGUAAAGCGUGCGCAGGCGGUUUUGUAAGACAGGCGUGAAAUCCCCGGGCUUAACCUGGGAACUGCGUUUGUGACUGCAAGGCUAGAGUACGGCAGAGGGGGGUGGAAUUCCACGUGUAGCAGUGAAACGCGUAGAGAUGUGGAGGAACACCAAUGGCGAAGGCAGCCCCCUGGGUCGAUACUGACGCUCAUGUACGAAAGCGUGGGUAGCAAACAGGAUUAGAUACCCUGGUAGUCCACGCCCUAAACUAUGUCAACUAGGUGUUGGGUGGGUAAAACCAUUUAGUACCGUAGCUAACGCGUGAAGUUGACCGCCUGGGGAGUACGGCCGCAAGGUUAAAACUCAAAGGAAUUGACGGGGACCCGCACAAGCGGUGGAUGAUGUGGAUUAAUUCGAUGCAACGCGAAAAACCUUACCUACCCUUGACAUGCCAGGAACUUGCCAGAGAUGGCUUGGUGCCCGAAAGGGAGCCUGGACACAGGUGCUGCAUGGCUGUCGUCAGCUCGUGUCGUGAGAUGUUGGGUUAAGUCCCGCAACGAGCGCAACCCUUGUCGUUAAUUGCCAUCAUUUAGUUGGGCACUUUAACGAGACUGCCGGUGACAAACCGGAGGAAGGUGGGGAUGACGUCAAGUCCUCAUGGCCCUUAUGGGUAGGGCUUCACACGUCAUACAAUGGUCGGUACAAAGGGUUGCCAAGCCGCGAGGCGGAGCCAAUCCCAGAAAGCCGAUCGUAGUCCGGAUUGCAGGCUGCAACUCGCCUGCAUGAAGUCGGAAUCGCUAGUAAUCGUGGAUCAGCAUGUCACGGUGAAUACGUUCCCGGGUCUUGUACACACCGCCCGUCACACCAUGGGAGCGGGUUCCGCCAGAAGUAGGUAGCCUAACCGCAAGGGGGGCGCUUACCACGGCGGGGUUCGUGACUGGGGUGAAGUCGUAACAAGGUAGCCGUAGGGGAACCUGCGGCUG